rnacentral:rRNA from 1 species
GAUGAACGCUGGCGGCGUGCCUAACACAUGCAAGUCGAGCGAACAGACGAUGAUCUUGCUCCUCUCACGUUAGCCGCGGGCGUGUGAGUAACACGUGGAUAACCCCCUUAUAUGUCUGGUAUCACUUCGGGAAUCCGGAUCUAAUCCCGUAGAAUAUAUUGAACCGCAUGGUUCAAUGGUGAAAUUCGGUUUUGCUGUCUCUUAUAGAUGGAUCCGCGCCUCUUUAGCUAGUUGGUAAGUUAACGGCUUUGCACGGCUACGAUGCGUAACCGAACGCAGAGAGGGAUCGCCCGCACUGGAAGGGAGCCACGGUCCAGAGUCCUGCGGGAGGCCGCAGUAGGGAAUGUUACGCAAUGGGCGAAAGCAUGACGGAGCAACGCGGCGUGAGUGAUGACGGUCUUCGGAUCGUAAAGCCCUGUUAUUAGGGAAGAACAAAUGUGUACGUAGAUAUGCACGUCUUGACGGUACCUAAUCAGAAAGCCACGGCUAACUACGUG